rnacentral:ncRNA from 1 species
GCAGAGUAGGUAUGGUGCGUUAAGUGCUUGGGGAUGGGAAGUUGCCCCUUGACGAAAAGGGUGAAAAGCCCUUGCGGUGCCAUAUCGCGUCCGCUGU